UCCUACGGGAGGCAGCAGUGGGGAAUAUUGGACAAUGGGCGCAAGCCUGAUCCAGCCAUGCCCGCGUGUGUGAAGAAGGCCCUCGGGUUGUAAAGCACUUUCAGCGAGGAAGAACGCCUAGCGGUUAAUACCCGCUAGGAAAGACAUCACUCGCAGAAGAAGCACCGGCUAACUCCGUGCCAGCAGCCGCGGUAAUACGGAGGGUGCAAGCGUUAAUCGGAAUUACUGGGCGUAAAGCGCGCGUAGGUGGCUUGAUAAGCCGGUUGUGAAAGCCCCGGGCUCAACCUGGGAACGGCAUCCGGAACUGUCAAGCUAGAGUGCAGGAGAGGAAGGUAGAAUUCCCGGUGUAGCGGUGAAAUGCGUAGAGAUCGGGAGGAAUACCAGUGGCGAAGGCGGCCUUCUGGACUGACACUGACACUGAGGUGCGAAAGCGUGGGUAGCAAAACAGGAUUAGAUACCCUGGUAGUCCACGCCGUAAAACGAUGUCGACCAGGCCGUUGGGUGCCUAGCGCACUUUGUGGCGCAAGUUAACGCGAUAAGUCGACCGCCUGGAGAGUACGGCCGCAAGGUUAAAACUCAAAUGAAUUG
rnacentral:rRNA from 1 species